GGGAGCUGCACUGAUCUCUGCUUCUCCCUUCCACCAUGCCCGGAUUUUGAAAUAUCGAGGGAAGAUUGAGCCGCUGUUAUAAGAUGAAGAACUCAAGAAGUCCUAUAUGUGUUCUUUUAUUCCUUUGUUGUUGUACGAUCAUGAGCAAAGCAGAAUAUCUGAAGUACAAAGAUCCAAAGAAACCAUUAAAUGUUCGUAUAAAUGACUUGCUAAGUCGGAUGACGGUUGCUGAGAAAGUCGGUCAAAUGUCUCAGGUUGAAAGAAAAAAUGCGUCGACUGAAGUUAUCAAGAAUUACUUCAUAGGUAGUGUAUUGAGUGGAGGGGGUAGUGCGCCUGCUCCCCAGGCUUCUGCUGAGGACUGGGUGAAUAUGGUCAAUGAGAUGCAGAAGGCGGCUCUCUCUACCCGUCUAGGAAUUCCUAUGAUCUAUGGGAUUGAUGCUGUGCAUGGCCAUAAUACUGUCUACAAAGCAACUGUGUUCCCACACAAUGUUGGACUGGGAGCUACCAGAGAUCCUACACUCGUCAAGAAAAUCGGCGCAGCUACUGCUCUUGAAGUUAGAGCAACAGGCAUUCCUUAUGUCUUCGCCCCAUGUAUUGCGGUCUGUAGAGAUCCAAGAUGGGGUCGCUGCUAUGAGAGCUACAGUGAGGAUCCAAAGGUUGUUCAAGAGAUGACAGAAAUCAUCUCUGGCUUACAAGGAGAUAUUCCAGCAAAUUCUCGCAAGGGAGUUCCUUUUGUUGCGGGAAAGAAAAACGUUGCUGCCUGUGCUAAGCAUUAUGUUGGUGAUGGCGGAACAUACAUGGGAAUCAAUGAAAACAAUACGAUCAUUAGUGAACAUGGACUACUUAGCAUCCACAUGCCGGGCUACUACCAGGCUAUCAUCAAGGGUGUCUCUACCAUAAUGGUUUCCUUUUCAAGUUGGAAUGGAGUGAAAAUGCAUGCCAACCAUUUUCUCGUAACCGAUUUCCUCAAGAACAAGCUCCAUUUUCGUGGUUUUGUAAUCUCGGAUUGGCAAGGAAUUGACAGAAUCACAAGUCCCCCUGAUGCAAAUUACUCAUAUUCAGUCCAGGCUGGAAUACAUGCUGGCAUUGAUAUGAUAAUGAUUCCAUUCAACUACACCGAGUUCAUCAGCGAUCUGACCUUCCAAGUCGAGCACAACAUCAUUCCCAUGAGCCGGAUAGACGAUGCUGUGCGAAGAAUCCUUCGCGUCAAGUUCACCAUGGGUCUCUUCGAAAACCCCUACGCUGAUCUUAGCUUAGUCAAUGAGAUUGGUAAAAAGGAACAUAGAGAGCUAGCCAGAGAAGCAGUGAGGAAAUCACUUGUUCUUUUGAAAAAUGGAAUCGACAUGAGGCGACUCCUGCCCCUACCUAAGAAGGCAAAGAAAAUCCUUGUUGCAGGAAGCCAUGCUGACAACUUGGGUUAUCAGUGUGGUGGGUGGACAAUAGAAUGGCAGGGACUUAGCGGCAAUAAUCUCACGACCGGAACCACCAUCCUUGAUGCAGUUAAAGCAACGGUCGAUCCGACCACCGAGGUCAUCUACUCCGAAAACCCCGAAGCUGAUUUUGUCAGGAAUGGCGGAUUCUCCUAUGUUAUAGUAGCUGUUGGCGAGCACCCUUAUGCUGAGACAUAUGGUGACAGUCUAGACCUCGCCAUCGCCGCGCCUGGACCAAGUAAUAUCCUGAAUGGCUGCAGCAUUGAAUGUGUGGUGGUGGUAGUCUCUGGCAGGCCUGUUGUUCUCGAGCCUUACAUCAACCAGGUGGAUGCGGUUGUGGCUGCAUGGCUGCCUGGGACAGAGGGACAAGGUGUGGCUGAUGUUCUCUUCGGAGAUUAUGGUUUCACUGGCAAGCUGCCUAGGACAUGGUUCAAGUCAGUGGAUCAGUUACCGAUGAACGUCGGUGAUCCUCAUUACGAUCCUCUGUAUCCGUUUGGUUUCGGGCUUACGACAGAGCCGACUCGAGCAAGGUAGAGAUUUGGUUAAGGAAUGGGGUUUCUGAAUUUGGAAGAGUUGCACUAUGAAUUGAUGUGUUUCUAGGGUUUUACUGGGAUGUUUCAAUUCUUGCAUCUUGGAAUUUGGUAAAAU
rnacentral:misc_RNA from 1 species